GAAAGGCGGGCUAAACCCGCGUACAUGCCACCGGGGCAUCCCGGAGGCAGGAAAGGCUUCGGCCGGACAGGGAUGGGCAUGCGGCGCAUUAGGCAGUAGGCGGGGUAACGGCCCACCUAACCGACGAUGCGUAGGGGUUCUGAGAGGAAGGUCCCCCACACUGGUACUGAGACACGGACCAGACUCCUACGGGAGGCAGCAGUGAGGAAUAUUGGUCAAUGGUCGGGAGACUGAACCAGCCAAGCCGCGUGAGGGAUGAAGGUACAGAGUAUCGUAAACCUCUUUUGUCAGGGAACAAAGGCGGGGACGUGUCCCCGGAUGAGUGUACCUGAAGAAAAAGCAUCGGCUAACUCCGUGCCAGCAGCCGCGGUAAUACGGAGGAUGCGAGCGUUAUCCGGAUUUAUUGGGUUUAAAGGGUGCGCAGGCGGUCUGUUAAGUCAGCGGUCAAAGCCCGGGGCUCAACCCCGGCCCGCCGUUGAAACUGGCAGUCUCGAGUUGGAGAGAAGUAUGCGGAAUGCGCGGUGUAGCGGUGAAAUGCAUAGAUAUCGCGCAGAACUCCGAUUGCGAAGGCAGCAUGCCGGCUCCACACUGACGCUGAGGCACGAAAGCGUGGGUAUCGAACAGGAUUAGAUACCCUGGUAGUCCACGCAGUAAACGAUGAAU
rnacentral:rRNA from 1 species